CAAAACUUUCCCAUACUCCCUCAUCUCGGUCAACUCUCUCUCUUUCGCCCUCUCACCAUUCUAAUUCCUUUCUUUUCUUCUUCUUCUUCUUCAAUUUCCCCAUAUUCUACUCUUCAUGAUUCCAAUCACAAAAUUAAUCAAAUUAUUCCACCGACCCAUAGCUAACAGAUGCGAAUUGCUCAAUUCUUCCAUCACCUAAUGCUUUCAUGAGUUCUUCUGGCAGCGGAUCCCAAAUCGGCACCAAUUUCUCCUAAUUUCCGUCGGUUUCUCCAAUUCACCCCACGACGUCGGCCGCUGCUCGCCGGGAAGACAGAGUGUUGCCGCCACGGUGCUGUCGGCGCAGUCGCCGGGUCAGGAUUCACCACCUCCGUCGCACAACGCCGCUGCUGCCGUCGGAGUGGAGGAAAUUCUGCCGCCGAUCCGUCGGGAAGAGCUGCUGCUGGAGCGCGUCCACCGCCGUCCAGCCGAGCCCCGAUUGACCUCCGAACAACCCCGGAACAACCCCGAAAGACUCCGACCCCAUGAAAGAUAAGUUCUAACAGUUACAGUUCAGUUUCGUUUGUGUGUUCAAUCAAAAUCUACUUCUUUUUGCGUUUUAGGUUUGAAAGAUUAAAGGGGAGUUCGAUUGGUGUUGUUUGAUUGGAGAUGGGUGCAGGAUGAUAUGUCGUACAUAGAAUGCUAAAAAUUCAUGCUUUAAAUUUGGAUAGAAAUUAUACCUUGAUCAGAUUUCGAAAGACAACAGGUAGCUCUCUCUCACGAAUUUGGUUCUCAAUUUCUGCCGGAAGAAGAUUAAAUGAGAUGGUUUGAAUUAUGAAAAAUAGAGGAAACUCUAUAGAAUUACCUUGAAUCUAAGUUGUGAAGAAGAAGUCUUGGUUUUCUUGCUGUAGAGAACGAGUAGAAUAGGAAAAUAAACUGAAUUGGAGAUUUAAAAUAGGAGGGGUGGUUUGGAUGUGAGAGAGAUUUGGGGAGAGAGGGAACGGUUUUUCCAAUGUGGGUUUACAUUUUCGAAUUCUGCUUCUUUUUUAUUUAUUUUGGAUAAAUUUGAAUUUAUUUGGUAUUUAUUUGCAGAUCACGGAGGAAGAAAAUCUCUGCAAAAUCUUUAAUUAAAAUUUUGAAUUAAAGCAGCCCACAAUUUAUUUAUCACGGACUGGGUUUCUAUAUUAUUUAUCCGAUUUAUUCGAUCCAACUCGCGGAUUGAGUCCAAUAAAUAUUCCUCACGGACAGGAAUUAUUUUAGAUUCGCGCAGAAAUUUAUUUCACAAAUCUCUAGUCCAGCAACAAUUAAUUCACCAACAAUUAAUUCACCGACAAUUAAAUCACGGACUUCGAAAUAUUAAUAGCAUUAAAUGCAAGUAUUUUAGGGUUCGAAAGUUAAGGUUCAAAAAGUGGGGCGUUACAGCAACUGUAUAUUUCAAAUCGGUCCCGAACUGAAGAAAAGAUGGUGGAUUACUGACCUAGAGACAUAUUUGCACGAAAAGUUAAGUUUUGUUCAAAAAUUUAUUGUUUUCUCGUUUCUAAAGUAAUUGCAUGCCUAAAUAUAGUUAAUUUGCAGUUUUAGACGUCUGAGUGUAUGCCUGAGUAUCUUUCACAUAUUUAUUGCAAUCCUAAAUAUUAUUCACAAAAUUAUUGUUUUCUGUUUUGUUAGCCAUCUGUGUGUAUGUUGGUCAAUAAAUGAAGACUUUAUAUAACCUUUCCAAGAGUUAUCUAGGGUUGAAUCUGCUCAAAUCUUCAAAGUUCUGGUAAUCAAAAUAAAGUGUGUAACAACCUUAACUUGCAUUACAAAGUAGAUUGAGCUGCCCAUACUUACUGGUUGGAGACGGCCAGAUCACAUCCUUAAUCUCAUACAUCAUGAGUUAAUCCUUGGCAAUCAUGUUCACUCCAUGAUUAGUUCAAAUGACUUUAAUAAUGAACAUUGAAAUUUCUUUUCAUAAUUGUGGUUUAGCUUGGUUCAAUUGUUUGCAUUAUGAAUUUGUGCAAUGUUUCAUGUUACUCCGUUGGAUGCCGAUUCAAUGUCAAUUGCUAUAUUAAAGGAGAAAUCUUCGUGGUAGGGAUUUUCUUGUCUUGACAAUCACCUUCUGCUCACGUUCCCGUUCAACUAAAAUCAGCAUAAAAAAAUCUAAGGACUGUUGUAAAUAUGACAUGUGAUAUGAUAUGCAUUCAGGCAAGAAGUGAGUUCAAAUAAAUUCUUACUCCUCCAAUGGCAAGGAUAUGAAAGGUUUGAGAACCAAAAUUUCUGUUUUUUUAUGGGAUGAAGAACAUCCAUUAAAGAGGGGUCAAGAGUCUGUCUCAGGAAUAAUAAGGUUUGAGAAGAACAUUUAACAAACAUAGAAUGAAAAACAUCCACUAUAGAGGAUCAAGAGUGUUUUUCAGAAAGCAUAAAACAAUAAGAUUUGAAAGGAAGCACCUAAAAAUAUGGAAUGAAGAUCUAUUCAAAGCAGAUUAAAAGAGAACAAAUUUGGGAAGAAAGAAAUGUGGAGGUUAAGAUGUGUAUAAGAGACGCACAAGAGGAGAGCUGGCUGAUUGAAAAGCUAAUAAAGAUAAUCAUUAUGUUUAAAUAGGCAUGCAACAUGGAUGGUGGAACAACCAAGAAAAUCUCAAAAGAUGAGUCAUUACACUGCAGCAACCGGACCAAAAAAAUUUCUAAUAUGCUUCAAAAAAACAGUGAAGUGCACACACCAAUCAAACUAUAACUAAAAAAUCGUGAAAAAAAAAACAAAAUACCAGCAUUGGAACAACGAAUGACUUUUAGUUAUCGUCUAAAAACAGUAACAAUAUGCAUGAAAAAAGCUGAAUACAUAUUUACCCUUGAAUUAAGAAUAGAUAUGACAUAAACGUGUGAGGAUUUUUCUCUCACCACACACUCUCUCCUUUCUCUCUCAGUUCUCUGUCUUCGAUGCAGAAGAUGUUCCGCUGCAUCAGCAAGCAGUUCACCGCGAUGAUCGGCCGGAAGGCUUUCCUGCAUUUGUACACUGGGGAGGGGAUGGACGACAUGGAGUUCACCGAAGCGGAGAGCAACCAACAUGAAUGAUCUGCUGGAGGAGAACCAGCAGUAUCAGGACGGCAUCGACGACGUGGAGGAGGACUACGACGACGGCGGUGCUCAAGAUUACGAGAAUUGAUAUAUACUCCGUAUAAUAUAAAAAAAUAGUGCAAAUUGCCUUUUCAAUAAUUUUGUCUUUGUGUUUUACAGUAAGUUUUUUAUUCAUUCAUCAUAUACGAGUUUUUAAGAGUUGGUAGCCGGUAGAUGCUUUGACUUGGUUUGUAUUAGUGAUUGAUUGAUCUGUGUAGCUAUUCAUUGUAAAUUCAUUUUCUUGUUUAUUGAAGUCUUUAUUUGUGGA